rnacentral:rRNA from 1 species
UCCUACGGGAGGCAGCAGUUAGGAAUAUUCGUCAAUGGGGGAAACCCUGAACGAGCAAUGCCGCGUGAAGGAUGACGGUCCUAUGGAUUGUAAACUUCUGUUGUUAGGGAAGAACGACCUAAGUAGGAAAUGACUUAGGAGUGACGGUACCUUUCAAGAAAGCUCCGGCUAACUACGUGCCAGCAGCCGCGGUAAUACGUAGGUGGCGAGCGUUAUCCGGAAUGAUCGGGCGUAAAGGGUGCGUAGGCGGCCUGCUAAGUCUGGAGUGAAAGGUACCGGCUCAACCGGUAUAGGCUCUGGAAACU